ACCCUCGUAGCUAAAACGCUUAAAGCGCUGGCCUUGUAAGACAGAAACUGGGAAUUUACAUCCCCGAGAGUA
rnacentral:tRNA from 1 species